rnacentral:rRNA from 1 species
GAUGAACGCUGGCGGCGUGCCUAAUACAUGCAAGUCGAGCGAACAGGCGAGGAGCUUGCUCCUCUGACGUUAGCGGCGGACGGGUGAGUAACACGUGGAUAACCCCCCUAUAUGACUGGGAUAACUUCGGGAAACCGGAGCUAAUACCGGAUCAUCUAUAGAACCGCAUGGUUCAAUAGUGAAAGACGGUUUUGCUGUCACUUAUAGAUGGAUCCGCGCCGCAUUAGCUAGCUGGUAAGGUAACGGCUUACCAAGGCAACGAUGCGUAGCCGACCUGAGAGGGUGAUCGGCCACACUGGAACGGAGACACGGUCCAGACGCCUACGGGAGGCAGCAGUAGGGAAUCUUCCGCAAUGUGCGAAAGCCUGACGGAGCAACGCCGCGUGAAUGAUGAAGGUCUUCGGAUCGUAAAACUCUGUUAUUAGGGAAGAACAAAUGUGUAAGUAACUAUGCACGUCUUGACGGUACCUAAUCAGAAAGCCACGGCUAACUACGUG